GCGCCUGUAGCUCAGUUGGAAAGAGCAUCGGCCUUCUAAGCCGAGGGUCACUGGUUCGAAUCCAGUCAGGCGCA
rnacentral:tRNA from 1 species